AUUUGCAACGUGCCACACGAGACAGAUUGUCCGCGCAAGCCAAUAUAUCGUAAAAUGAAAAGUAUAGAGAUGCGCUCAAAUUUCCCAUUAGGGGGUAUCGUAAUCAUCGGGGAAUUCUGAAAAAAAUGUUUUCAU
rnacentral:lncRNA from 1 species